rnacentral:lncRNA from 1 species
GUAUGUUUAACUCCUACUCGAUCGAUCAAUACUAGAUAUAUGAACAUUGAUGACCAUCUUACAUAUAUUCAUAAAUAAAAUUGGCAUAGGGCUAAGUAAGUAACAGCAUGUUUGAUUCUAGUGAAAAUUUUAAACAUACAUAUAUAUAUAUACAUGCUUUGUACUAUUAAGUAACUGUAUUGUAAUUAUCAAUACAACUGCACUUAUUGUUGGUUCCAUCAAACCGAAACUUGAAGCACGGACCUCAACCUGAGCGAUGCCAGGGGAUAUCCCUCUAGCUAACAGGUGUUUCAUUUCAUUACACUGAAACAUGUAAGAAAAAUUAAGAUGUGUGUGUGUGUGUGUGUGCAUAUAAGUUAAGUCCACCAUUAUAUCCUACUUAAGUUAUAUGUUUAUGUGAUAGGUGAAUGAGUACUCAUCUCUCAAAGAUGGACCUUUAUAUUCCUGGGGUGAACUGAGUCCAGGGUCCUUUUUCGUCCGCCUUGGAGGCUUGUGGUUAAUGACUUUCACAGUUCUGGGAGCACCAAUUGCAGCUGCCAGCUUCAAUCCUUCAAGGGUAAAACAAUUUUAAAGACUCCCUUCUGAGUAUUAAUAUCAUAAGGCAGCACAUCCCCCUCAUGUACAUAUGUACAUUUACACUUUCUAAAACAAAGGAUUAGUGCCUCUGUAAACACUGUUCAUAUAGUCAUACUUGUAGUCCAAAACAUCAUAUGGACGAGAAAACUUUGUGAUAUGAACAAUAAGACUCAUCAACCAGCACAAGAAGUUAAUAUUGGCAUUUCUCAAGAAGUAUUGCUGCUGCUGUUUAUAAUUUUGCUAAUAUUGUCUCACCCUUCCUGCAGGAACCAUUACGAUUUGCCCUUGCAGCUGGGACAGGAACUCUAUUUCUUGUAUCGCUGAUUGUCCUAAGGAUUUACCUGGUACAUUUCCUUAAUGUUACAGUGAUAUCAUUAUUGCUCUUCAUAACUAGUAUAGAAAGAGGGCAAAGACGGAACAUCUUCACAAGUAACAGAAAUAAACAGUACAGUUAAAAUUAUAAAAAAAAAAUGUAGGCAUUAAUUGAGUUUCCAUGCUAACCGCAGCAAGUAUAGCAUACUGGUAUAAGCUCUCAUUUAUCUCCCAGGUGUUUACCAAUCUGAAAAUUAUUCUUAUGGAAUUGUAAGAUAUUUCCCCUUCCCAGUUAUCCUACCCGUCUUUAAUCAACUAGAACCUCGUCAAUCUAGUGCUAAAUUAGUGUCAAUGUUACUAUGACUUAUGAAUUGCGUUAUACAUAUUGCAGGGAUGGAGUUAUGUUGGUGAUAGACUUUUAUCAGCAGUGAUACCUUACGAAGAGAGUGGAUGGUAUGAUGGACAAAUGUGGGUAAAGCCACCUGAGGUUAGAGCCUUAUCAUUUAAUCAUGUAGAAGGAUUUGAGUUCAGCCAAGAAUUGAGUUAUGGCAUUUAGUUUUGCUACAAAGUUACUAUCAAAUCAUAAUAACCCAGACACUAAGACUAAGUGGUAGAAUAGAAGAAACAAUAAACUACUGGUACACGAGUGCAGCUCAGGAAAAAAAUGGAGAAAAGGGAAGGGGAGGGGGGAAUAGUAGUCAGACCUCUAAUGACACAUGGAAAGGGUAGACAACCACGAUAACUAUCAGUUUUCUCAGAAUUACUCUGCAAAAUUGUUUCCAAAUUGAGUUGUGUUGACACAAACCAGUCAUUAAUGUGAAUACCUUUGUAACAUGGAGCUGGAGAGCACUACAUGCUCUUCAGUUACCAACAAAAGCAAAGUUCAUGCUACUCAAUUUAACUACAUAAAUUAAAGCGCCAGCGAAGAGAAACUUUACACAAGGCAUAUUGUCAAAAUUUUAACUACAGCUACGACCUUGGAGUUGACUAUAACGUAGAUUGAGAAAGAGUGAGUCAUCUACUGAGUAGUUCACAACCAUAACGAAUUGUCGGUAAAUGAAUAAUCAUUAUUGGUGAAUAGAUAACGUGACUCCAGUAGAAAGGAAAUAACGAUAUUCUUUCUGCAUAGCAGCCUCGUCAAGAGUAUCAUAUGUAUUAUUUGUGCAAUUUCAACUCAUCUAAUGAUACAUUUUAAUUGCUUUCCUCCUUGCAGAUUCUGGCUCGUGACAGAUUAUUGGGCUCAUAUAAGGUACCAAGAAAAGAGCAAGAUGGCUUUGAUUAGUAAUUAACAAUUUUUGACUGACUAAUGCAACAUGCAUGUAUGCACACACAAAUGCAGAAUCCCAAAUAACUGGAUAUGUUUCAUUCGCUUUCUGAUUUCCGCCAACUGAAAUAAGUGCACUACUGUUUACUCUGUAUUCUCAUAUCUGAAUAAAAAUUUGAUAAACAUAUGGAAAACUUGUGCAUCCAGGUCAAACCAGUCAUCAAAAUGCUGAAACAAACACUAGUUGGAACAGGGGCCUUACUUGUUACAGCAGUCUUUUUAUUCAUCUUUGCUAUACCGGUGGAGGAUUUCUUUCAGAACAGUUACACUGCAAAAGAGAACACAUCCGAUAUUUCAGCCUCAAAAAUCAGCACAAAGUUUAACAUACGGUAUGUUAGCAAAUAGAUUGGGAUACGAAACCUAUAAUUUGGCAUGUACUUAUUUAUUUUAUAUUCAUAUUUUUAAGCAACUUCAACUGAAGUUUCUUUGAAAAGAGGAGCUAAUAAGAUUGCCAGCAGAAGUGGUGACUGAUGAUGAUCUAGCAGCAGCUGCUACUGAUGGAAGGCCAGUCUACCGCAGAGACAGGUAUCAUUGCGUAUUGGCGGGCAGUCAGUAUUGCAAAUGGGAGGACUUACUCAAGUAAUGAAGAGGAAAACUAGAUACUAGAUUGUAUUUGUUUUAGAUUUCUUAUAGAAUUUGUAAUCAUCUUUAAUUAACAGAGUAAAAAAUUUUAAAAUCUCAUUCCUUUACGCUAGGGAAACAGUUCUGACGAUAAAGAUAAAUUUAAAAAUUAGAAUGCUGAGGAAUGAAUAUUGUAUGAACUAUGGAUUAUAAAGUACAAGAUAA